AACUAACGCUGGCGGCGUGCCUAACACAUGCAAGUCGUACGAGAAAGCCGGCUUCGGCUGGUGAGUAAAGUGGCGCACGGGUGAGUAACGCGUGGAUAAUCUGCCCUUAAGUGUGGAAUAACGUACCGAAAGGUGCGCUAAUACCGCAUAAUGCCUGGCAACACAAGUUGUCCGGCCAAAGAAGGCCUCUGUUUACAAGCUUUCGCUUCAGGAUGAGUCCGCGUACCAUUAGCUUGUUGGUGGGGUAAUGGCCUACCAAGGCUGCGAUGGUUAGCUGGUCUGAGAGGAUGAUCAGCCACACUGGAACUGAGACACGGUCCAGACUCCUACGGGAGGCAGCAGUGAGGAAUAUUGCGCAAUGGGGAAACCCUGACGCAGCGACGCCGUGUGAGCGAUGAAGGCCUUCGGGUCGUAAAGCUCUGUCAGAGGGAAAGAAAGGGUACGGCGGAAUAAUAACCCGCCGACAUUGACGGUACCUCGGAGAAGCACCGGCAACUCCG
rnacentral:rRNA from 1 species